rnacentral:rRNA from 1 species
UAGGUCGACCGCUGAACUUAAGCAUAUCAAUAAGCGGAGGAAGAGAAACCAACAGGGAUUCCCUCAGUAAUGGCGAACGAAGCGGGAAGAGUGCCCAGGUCGAAAAUCUCCGGUCAGGCUUUGAGUCGUUGACUGGUGAAUUGUGGUCUGGAGAGUCGAACUGUCCCGGUCCACUGCUCCACUGUUCGAGCCCGAAGUCGACUUGGAACGGCGUGCCUGAGAGGGUGAGAGCCCCGUAGGGCAAGGAAAUCGGGAGCGGCGGGACGAGGGUUCGUACUCGUGGAGUCGGGUUGUUUGGGAUUGCAGCUCCAAGCGGGUGGUAGACUCCAUCCAAGGCUGAAUACGGGUGCAAGACCGAUAGCGGACAAGUACC